rnacentral:rRNA from 1 species
UGAGGAAUAUUGGUCAAUGGGCGGAAGCCUGAACCAGCCAAGUCGCGUGAGGGAAGACGGCCCUACGGGUUGUAAACCUCUUUUGCCGGGGAGCAAUGCCCAGCUCGCGAGCUGGGAAGGAGAGUACCCGGAGAAAAAGCAUCGGCUAACUCCGUGCCAGCAGCCGCGGUAAUACGGAGGAUGCGAGCGUUAUCCGGAUUUAUUGGGUUUAAAGGGUGCGUAGGCGGUCUGUUAAGUCAGCGGUCAAAUGUCGGCGCUCAACGCCGGCCUGCCGUUGAAACUGGCGGACUUGAGUGGGCGAGAAGUAUGCGGAAUGCGUGGUGUAGCGGUGAAAUGCAUAGAUAUCACGCAGAACCCCGAUUGCGAAGGCAGCAUACCGGCGCCCAACUGACGCUGAGGCACGAAAGCGUGGGUAUCGAACAGG